GCAAGUCAGUCCUCCCCAACUGUCUUCCCCCUCGUCUCCUGCGAGAGACCCUUGUCUGAUGAGAAUCUGGUGACCAUGGGCUGCCUGGCACGGGACUUCCUGCCCAGCUCCAUCUCUUUCUCCUGGAACUACAAGAACGGCUCUGAGAUCCUCCAGGGCGUCAGGACCUUUCCAACACUGCUGUCGGGGAACAAGUACAUGGCCGCCUCGCAGGUGUUCCUGUCCCCCAAGGACUUCAUGGCGGGCUCAGAUGACUACCUGGCAUGCAAAGUCCGGCAUGGCAACAACAACAGAGACCUGCAUGUGUCCAUUCCAGAAAUCUCAAACAUUCCCCCCAAUGUGAAUAUGUUUGUUCCACCUCGUAAUGCCUUCUCUGGCCCUGCACCACGCUUGUCCAAAAUCAUCUGCCAGGCCACCAACUUCAGUCCCAAGAAGAUCACAGUGUCCUGGCUACGAGACUGGAAACCUGUGGACUCCGGCUUCACCACAGAGAAGGUGACUGCCGAGCCCAAAGGACCAGGGCCCCUGACCUACAAGGUCACAAGCUCACUGACCAUCACCGAGACCGACUGGCUGAACCUGAUUGUGUACACCUGCCGCGUGGAUCACAAUGGGUUCACCAUCUUGACGAACGUGUCCUCUACCUGUGCUUCCA